rnacentral:rRNA from 1 species
AAUCAACGCUGGCGGCGUGCCUAACACAUGCAAGUCGAACGCGAAAGUGGAGCAAUCCAUGAGUAGAGUGGCGAACGGGUGAGUAACACGUGGGUGACCUACCUUCGAAUGGGGGAUGACGUCCCGAAAGGGACGCUAAUACCGCAUAACAUCCUGUCCUUGAACGGAUGGUGAUCAAAGCCGGGGAUCGCAAGACCUGGCGUUUGAAGAGGGGCCCGCGUCCGAUUAGCUAGUUGGUGAGGUAACGGCUCACCAAGGCGACGAUCGGUAACCGGCCUGAGAGGGCGGACGGUCACACUGGGACUGAGACACGGCCCAGACUCCUACGGGAGGCAGCAGUGGGGAAUUGUUCACAAUGGGCGCAAGCCUGAUGACGCAACGCCGCGUGGAGGAUGAAGGUCUUCGGAUUGUAAACUCCUGUUGCUCGGGACGAAAGCUUCGACCUAACACGUCGAAGUCUGACGGUACCGAGUGAGGAAGCCCGGCUAACUCUGUGCCAGCCGCC